rnacentral:misc_RNA from 1 species
GAUGAAGAACGCAGCGAAAUGCGAUAAUUAAUGUGAAUUGCAGAAUUUAGUGAAUCAUCGAAUCUUUGAACGCACAUUGCGCCCCUUGGUAUUCCGGGGGGCAUGCCUGUUCGAGCGUCAUUUCAACCCUCAAGCUCAGCUUGGUGUUGGGCCCCGCCGCCCCGGCGGGCCCUAAAGUCAGUGGCGGUGCCGUCCGGCUCCGAGCGUAGUAAUUCUUCUCGCUCUGGAGGUCCGGUCGUGUGCUCGCCAGCAACCCCCAAUUUUUUUCAGGUUGACCUCGGAUCAGGUAGGGAUACCCGCUGAACUUAAGCAUAUCAAUAAGCGGAGGA